rnacentral:rRNA from 1 species
GAGAGCAGAGAAGGAAAA